UGACCCUAAAACUAAAUAAGAAAACCCUUAUACGAAACUGUUUUCUUGACAAAUUGAUUGAAAUCUAAUGGAAAAGAUUUGUCUCUCUAAUAUCUUUCUCUUGUGCUUCUUCCCGUUUCUCUUUUCUUUUGUUUCCACUUUUUUUUCUUAGUUAAUCUCACGCUUCCUAAUCUCACAGAUCUUGUCUCUCUAAUCUCUUUCUUCAUCACCACUAAACCUUUGUCACCAUCGACCUCGUCUUCAUCUCCACCACAGCACGUCGUCCUCACCACCAUAGCUCGCGUCAUCACCACCAUAGCUUAUCUGUUCUCGCAUCGUCAUCACCACUACGAAAGUUCUAUUCUUAGUUAAAAAAAAAGCAGAGGGUUUUGUUGCUAGCCACCUUGAGUUAUUUAUGCUUGAGGAUGACUAUAUUCAAAUUAGGGAAGGUUCACAGAAAAUGGCUCAAUCUUAGGGAUUAAAGAAGAGAACAGAGGCUUGAGGCGGAUACUCUGGAGUAAGGAUGUUAAAAUGGGUUUCGGUUCGCGGGUUUUUAAUGGAUUUCUCAAAAAGAUAAAUGCCCGUUUAGACCCAUUUAGUUUAGUGGGUUUGAAAUGUGUAGUUUUAUUAAAACUCAUUUAAUAAAUGAAAUUUUACUUUAAAUUAGUGAGGACCCUAUUAACUCAUUUAACUUAAUAUAAUUAAAUAUUUUUUUUUGAAAAAUGUGAUUGUGUGGUUUUGACAGAAAAAUUUGAUAUAAUGGUUUUGGCGGAAAAUUUUGAUUUUUACGGUUUUAACGGGAGAAUUCAAUUUUAUGGUUUUGGCGGGAAACUCAGUUUUACGGUUUUGGCAGGAAACUUGGUUUUACAAUUUUGACGGAAAAUUCGGUUUUACGAUUUUGAUGGAAAAUUCAAUUUUACGGUUUUGGCGAAACAAUUUUAUUUGAGUUUAUAUAAUAAAAAAUCAGUUAAAAUUUUUAUUUGUUUCGUUUAAUUUUUUAUAAGGGAGUAUAAAGUUAAAAUAAUUAAAAAUUAAAUCAAUAAUAGUUUAAAUGGAUCUAAAUGAGUCUGAAUGGAUAUAUGUAAACUUCAGGGGUUCUAAAUGGAUAUCCUAAUAGACCUAUUUUUACAUGGAUUUAAAUGGGUAUGGGUUCUAAAUGUGGUGGGUCUAAAAUGGGAUGGGUUUAAAUGUGGUAGAUUUUAUCAUUUUAACAUCCAUACUCUAGAGGUUGGAGCGGAGGAUUAGGGUUACAAAGCUGGAGGUGGUGGUUCUGGGAGCGGCUUAGGUUUUAUUUUUAGGACCUUAGGUUAAUUAUGUUUUGGUUUAAUUUUUUUAAUUAGUUUUUUGGUUUAAUGUGUUCUUUAGUUAUUUGUAUAUUGAUUCUAAUUAAUAAAUAAAUUUUGAUUUUUAAUUAUGAAUUAGUUUGCGAUUUUA